ACCACUGAACAUAAAGGUAAUAGUUCAGAGAUAUGCUUUGGAAAGACUACUUCAUCAGGUUAUAAGGAAAACUGGGAAACGUUUGGAGCUGUGCAGACAACUCAGAAAGUCAUCACAACAAUUGAGAAAUUUUACCCCCAAUAAAUGUCUUGCAUGCCUGAAUCCACAUUGGCAUCUUUUUCCUGGAGAACUGUAUCAAUGAUACCAGCAAAGGCCUAAGAAACCAGAUUGUGUGUAAGAUGGAGCUUGAGGACUGACUCACUCACUGCCUAGCUGUCAAGAGGAACUCCAUCUCAUGUAGAUGUCAGGCAUGGAAAAGCCUGUCACAAGGUGGAGAUGUCCACAAGAACCAUAAAGGAGCUUCUCCUGAACAAGUAUAGAUUUGUGGAUCAUUGCAGUGCAAGGGGUAGACUGUGCAAGUCAGUGAAGGUGCAUUGCUUAGAUCUCUAGGAGAGUCUACAGCAAAGACGGUCGUUGGGUGGCAGUCUCCAUCUGACACAACUUUGAGUCUUCUGCAGUGUUAAAACUGAGUCACAUGCUCCCCAGGGAUACUUCUAGCCAUUGACUGAGCAUGCUGGGGAGACCACAACUAGGUCAUUUCAUAACCUCCUCAGGUAGAGUUAUAUGCUUCUUCUUCUGGUCUCCUGUUGUACAUUCCAGCUUCCUGUUACUAUACCCCCAGCAACA